GACGAACGCUGGCGGCGUGCUUAACACAUGCAAGUCGAACGAAGAGCGAUGGAAGCUUGCUUCUAUCAAUCUUAGUGGCGAACGGGUGAGUAACGCGUAAUCAACCUGCCCUUCAGAGGGGGACAACAGUUGGAAACGACUGCUAAUACCGCAUACGAUCUAAACUCGGCAUCGAGGAUAGAUGAAAGGUGGCCUCUACAUGUAAGCUAUCACUGAAGGAGGGGAUUGCGUCUGAUUAGCUAGUUGGAGGGGUAACGGCCCACCAAGGCGAUGAUCAGUAGCCGGUCUGAGAGGAUGAACGGCCACAUUGGGACUGGGACACGGCCCAGACUCCUACGGGAGGCAGCAGUGGGGAAUCUUCCGCAAUGGACGAAAGUCUGACGGAGCAACGCCGCGUGAGUGAUGACGGCCUUCGGGUUGUAAAGCUCUGUUAAUCGGGACGAAAGGCCUUCUUGCGAAUAGGGAGAAGGAUUGACGGUACCGGAAUAGAAAGCCACGGCUAACUACGUG
rnacentral:rRNA from 1 species